rnacentral:rRNA from 1 species
GAUGAACGCUGGCGGCGUGCCUAAUACAUGCAAGUCGAGCGAAGCGGGGGCGCGUGCGUAACACGUGGAUAACCUCCUUUAAGACUGGUAUAACUUCGGGGAACCGGUGCUAAACCCGCUAUUUAUAGAUUGAUCCGUGUGGCAUUAGCUAUUUGGUAAGGUAACGGCUUACCAAGGCAACGCAGCAUAGCCGACCUGAGAGGGUGAUCGGCCACACUGGAACUGAGACACGGCCCAGACUCCUACGGGAGGCAGCAGUAGGGAAUCUUCCGCAAUGGGCGAAAGCCUGACGGAGCAACGCCGCGUGAGUGAAGAAGGUCUUCGGAUCGUAAAACUCUGUUAUUAGGGAAGCGUUACCGAAUCAGAAAGCCACGGCUAACUACGUGCCAGCAGCCGCGGUAAUAC